CGUGACGUCACGGGCCACCCGCCAGCCCCGCGCUCUACCAGGCAGAGCGCGUGUGGCCGCCGAGCACAUGGACCCACUGGUCAAGCGGGCUCGGCAAGGCCAGGAUGAAGAGAAGCUACGAACUUAGCAUUCCCAGAGCCCCCCGAGUGGAUAUCCGCGUGGAAAGGAUGUUGGCAGCCCCGGUGACCUCGGAGUCACGGCUGGAUCCACCCUCUUGUCUGAUUUUCUUAACUCUACUACGGUAAGAAGAUGCCCUCCAUCAGCAGGCCGUGUCUGCUGGGACCUCUCUGGAGACUUCCUGAACCCUGUGGAUUUACAGUAAGAUGCAGUUUCCUGGGGAGUAAUUCUGGUGGAUACAAAUUCCGGAGUAUUACACCUGGCUUGCCUGGAGAUGUUACAAGUAGCUGGAUGGAUUCUUCAGCCUGGAUGCCCACUGAAAACAAGGACCGAAACUAAGAGGAUUGUAUCUCUACCCUUGACUCAAUGAGAAUGUUUGUUGUCAUCUCUCGGGCUACCUGGAGCUCCCUCUAAAAUUAUACCCUUUAAGCGUUCCAGAAGGAUUUUGAGAUCCUUUCCUAAAUCAAAGGUGGAAUAUUUGGGGAUUUGGAAAAUUGAGCCAGUCUCUCAGAAGAACCAGUUGUGUUACUUUGCUGUGAGAUGCCUGCCCUAAGAGAGGAGCAGAAGGUCGGAACGGGUCCUCUAAUGUGAUAAUUAGAUGUGAAGCGUUGACUUAAGAGAUGCCAAGUAACUCAGCAGAUGUCACACAGACGAUAAAUAGCAAAGAUGGAAGUCUUCAUGCCGGAGGCAAUCCUAUAAGACAGCUGAGUUCUGCAGAGCUGGUAGGAGACAGACUUGCUCAGGUGAUAGAUCCAGCCAUGAUACUGACCCUAAGAGAAUGAGACGCUCUGCAGAAGACAGAAGAUUCCUGAAACUGGGAAAGGUGCCUAGAAAUCCUGAUAAGAGUGAAGAAGGGUACCUGGAGGCACAGCAGCCAUGUUGAACCUAUGAGGUGAUGAAAAACCAUGCAACUAGAAACCAGAAUGGAAGAAAAGAAGAAGCUGGAUCCUUGACUGAAUUGUCGAUGGGGGAUAGUCCAUCAUCCCAGGGCUAAGACCACCUCCAGAUUUCUUGUUUGGUGAAACAAGUCCUGAUUGUUUACAUUCCCUCGUGUUGAGCUGUCUCUUGCUUGUAGCUGAAAGCAUUUCUAAUAGAUAUUCAGAUUAUCAGCCUUAGCUCCAAGCUAGAAUACUCUAUGGGACCUUAGCUUCUCCAUGAAUUCCUUUGCUCAUCUGUGUAAUGCUCAAUAAAUGUAAAUUGAACCCUGAAUGAGGGACAAUGACAC
ensembl:lincRNA